UACAGAGGUCUCAAGCGUUGUUCGGAUUCAUUGGGCGUAAAGGGUGUGUAGGUGGCGCCGUAAGUCGGGUGUGAAAUUUCGGAGCUUAACUCCGAAACUGCAUUCGAUACUGCGGUGCUUGAGGACUGGAGAGGAGACUGGAAUUCAUGGUGUAGCAGUGAAAUGCGUAGAGAUCAUGAGGAAGACCAGUGGCGAAGGCGGGUCUCUGGAAAGUUCCUGACACUGAGACCCGGAAGCGUGGGGAGCAAACAGG
rnacentral:rRNA from 1 species